rnacentral:tRNA from 1 species
GCCAGUAUGGCGUAGUGGUUUGAGUGUUGGACUAGGACUCUGGAGACCAGGGUUCAAACCCGGCUCGGCCA